rnacentral:rRNA from 1 species
GACGAAGGAUGCAAGCGUUAUCCGGGUUCAUUGGGUUUAAAGGGAGCGUAGGCGGCCUUAUAAGUCAGUGGUGAAAUCUCCUCGCUUAACGAGGAAAUUGCCAUUGAUACUGUAGGGCUUGAGUACAGUUGCCGUUGGCGGAAUAUGACAUGUAGUGGUGAAAUACAUAGAGAUGUCAUAGAACACCGAUUGCGAAGGCAGCUAACGAAGCUGUAACUGACGCUGAGGCUCGAAAGUGCGGGGAUCAAACAGG